GACGAACGCUGGCGGCGUACUUAACACAUGCAAGUCGAACGGUAAGGCCCUUCGGGGUACACGAGUGGCGAACGGGUGAGUAACACGUGGGUGAUCUGCCCUGCACUUCGGGAUAAGCCUGGGAAACUGGGUCUAAUACCGGAUAGGACCACUGCCUGCAUGGGUGGUGGUGGAAAGCUUUUGCGGUGUGGGAUGGGCCCGCGGGCUAUCAGGUUGUUGGUGGGGUGAUGGCCUACCAAGGCGACGACGGGUAGCCGGUCUGAGAGGGUGACCGGCCACACUGGGACUGAGAUACGGCCCAGACUCCUACGGGAGGCAGCAGUGGGGAAUAUUGCACAAUGGGCGCAAGCCUGAUGCAGCGACGCUGCGUGAGGGAUGACGGCCUUCGGGUUGUAAACCUCUUUCAGCACCGACGAAGCGCAAGUGACGGUAGGUGCAGAAGAAGGACCGGCCAACUACGUGCCAGCAGCCGCCGUAA
rnacentral:rRNA from 1 species